rnacentral:rRNA from 1 species
GCCAGACUCCUACGGGAGGCAGCAGUGGGGAAUAUUGCACAAUGGGGGAAACCCUGAUGCAGCAACGCCGCGUGAGUGAAGAAGUAUUUCGGUAUGUAAAGCUCUCUCAGCAGGGAAGAAAAUGACGGUACCUGAGUAAGAAGCCCCGGCUAACUACGUGCCAGCAGCCGCGGUAAUACGUAGGGGGCAAGCGUUAUCCGGAUUUACUGGGUGUAAAGGGAGCGUAGACGGCGAUACAAGUCUGAAGUGAAAGCCCGGGGCUCAACCCCGGGACUGCUUUGGAAACUGUGUUGCUGGAGUGCUGGAGAGGCAAGCGGAAUUUCUAGUGUAGCGGUGAAAUGCGUAGAUAUUAGGAAGAACACCAGUGGCGAAGGCGGCUUACUGGACAGUAACUGACGUUGAGGCUCGAAAGCGUGGGGAGCAAGCAGGAUUAGAUACCCUGGUAUGA